GACGAACGCUGGCGGCGUGCUUAACACAUGCAAGUCGAACGAUGAAAGAGGAGCUUGCUCCUCUGGAUUAGUGGCGAACGGGUGAGUAACACGUGAGCAAUCUGCCCCUGACUCCGGAAUAACUACGGGAAACUGUAGCUAAUACCGGAUAUGCGCCGAACAGGCAUCUGUAUCGGUGGGAAAGAAUUUCGGUCAGGGAUGAGCUCGCGGCCUAUCAGCUUGUUGGUGAGGUAACGGCUCACCAAGGCGACGACGGGUAGCCGGCCUGAGAGGGUGACCGGCCACAUUGGGACUGAGACACGGCCCAGACUCCUACGGGAGGCAGCAGUGGGGAAUAUUGCACAAUGGGCGCAAGCCUGAUGCAGCAACGCCGCGUGAGGGAUGACGGCCUUCGGGUUGUAAACCUCUUUUAGCAGGGAAGAAGCGAAAGUGACGGUACCUGCAGAAAAAGCGCCGGCUAACUACGUGCCAGCAGCCGCGGUAAUACGUAGGGCGCAAGCGUUGUCCGGAAUUAUUGGGCGUAAAGAGCUCGUAGGCGGUCUGUCGCGUCUGCUGUGAAAUCCCGAGGCUCAACCUCGGGCUUGCAGUGGGUACGGGCAGACUAGAGUGCGGUAGGGGAGAAUGGAAUUCCUGGUGUAGCGGUGGAAUGCGCAGAUAUCAGGAGGAACACCGAUGGCGAAGGCAGUUCUCUGGGCCGUAACUGACGCUGAGGAGCGAAAGCGUGGGGAGCGAACAGG
rnacentral:rRNA from 1 species